rnacentral:rRNA from 1 species
CGAAAGCCUGACGGAGCAAGACCGCGUGAGGGAGGAAGGCUCUUGGGUUGUAAACCUCUUUUCUCAAGGAAGAUAAUGACGGUACUUGAGGAAUCAGCAUCGGCUAACUCCGUGCCAGCAGCCGCGGUAAUACGGAGGAUGCAAGCGUUAUCCGGAAUAAUUGGGCGUAAAGCGUUCGUAGGUGGUGAUGUAAGUCUGCUGUUAAAGCGUGUAGCUUAACUACAUAUAGGCGGUGGAAACUACAUGACUAGAGUGCGUUCGGGGCAGAGGGAAUUCCUGGUGUAGCGGUGAAAUGCGUAGAUAUCAGGAAGAACACCGGUGGCGAAGGCGCUCUGCUAGGCCGUAACUGACACUGAGGGACGAAAGCUAGGGGAGCG